rnacentral:rRNA from 1 species
UCGUCAGCUCGGGUCGUGAGAUGAUGGGUUAAGUCCCGCAACGAGCGCAACCCCUAUGCAUAGUUGCCAGCAAGUAAAGUUGGGCACUCUAUGCAGACUGCCCGAAAAAAACCGGGAGGAAGGUGGGGACGACGUCAAGUCAUCAUGGCCCUUACACCUAGGGCUACACACGUACUACAAUGGCACGCACAAAGGGCAGCGAUACCGUGAGGUGGAGCCAAUCCCAAAAAACGUGUCCCAGUCCGGAUUGCAGUCUGCAACUCGACUGCAUGAAGUCGGAAUCGCUAGUAAUUCGAGGUCAGCAUACUCGGGUGAAUGCGUUCCCGGGCCUUGUACACACCGCCCGUCACACCACGAAAGUCGGUUUUACCCGAAGCCGGUGAGCCAACUAGCAAUAGAGGCAGCCGUCUACGGUAGGGCCAGUGAUUGGGGUGAAGUCGUAACAAGGUAGCCGUA